AGAACUGUGAGUCAGGCCAGGAAAGCAGAAGGUCGUUUUACUUUUGACUGUGUGUCACCCUCGGUGUAGCCUCACGGGUUGGCGGCAGAAGGAAAAGAAAAGAUUCCUGUUUAUUUUCAGACUAUGCUUCGAGGCUUCUCUCUGCACUCACAGAGCCCCCUGGGGUGGCAGGGACACCCAGGAGAAUCAACAAGGGAAUAAUCAAAGCUGCUGCCCCUUCCCUGUUCACUUCACAACACUUUGAUAAUGGAGAGGGACGCUGGAGUAUCUGGUUCAAAAUGGCUGCUGGGUGACCCUGAUACUUCUCAGUUGUAUGCUAUGGGGAAUGAGUGGGUGGGGAAGAAGAAAAAGUGGUAGGAUUUUAAUCCAUAAUUACUCAUUAUUUUGUUUACUUGUGAAGGGAACGACUGCAUUUUUGGCACUUCAAAGGACUUGCUUUCAUACAUUAAAUAUUUUGUUUGAGGAAGGGAAAA
rnacentral:lncRNA from 1 species